rnacentral:rRNA from 1 species
CCUACGUGAGGCAGCAGUGAGGAAUAUUGGUCAAUGGGCGCGAGCCUGAACCAGCAAAGUAGCGUGAAGGAUGACUGCCCUACGGGUUUUAAACUUCUUUUAUAGAGAAAUAAAGUGAAGCACGUGUGCCUUUCUGUAUGUACUUUAUGACUAAGGAUCGGCUAACUCCGUGCCAGCAGCCGCGGUAAUACGGAGGAUCCGAGCGUUAUCCGGAUUUAUUGGGUUUAAAGGGAGCGUAGUUGGGUUGUUAAGUCAUAUGUGAAUGUUUGCGGCUCAACCGUAAAAUUGCAAUUGAUACUGGCAGCCUUGAGUACAGUUGAGGUAGGCGGAAUUCGUGGUGUAGCGGUGAAAUGCUUAGAUAUCACGAAGAACUCCGAUUGCGAAGGCAGCCUACUAAACUGCAACUGACAUUGAUGCUCGAAAGUGUGGGUAUCAAACAGGAUUAGAUACCCCUGUAGUC